AUGUCGCCUUUCCCGAUUGUGUGCUUCCUUCUCGUCAGCUUACCGUAUGUCCAGGCUGAAGUUGUGUUGACCCAGCCGGUAACUGCUGCGGGAAAUCUCGGACACUCUGCGAAAUUGUCCUGUUCAGUGAGUGGCUACAAUAUCAACGACCAUCACAUGCACUGGUACAAGCAGGUCUCCGUGAAAGGCCUGGAGUGGCUACUGGCUUACAGGAAAGGAUACAAUACAAUCUACGCGCCCGGAGUAGAAGGACGAAUCACGUUUUCAACUGAAUCCUCAACAACCCACAUUGAGAUCAAUAAUCUGACAGUCGAGGACGCCGCUGCUUAUUACUGCGGUGUUGCUAUGCACAGUGCUUUAAAACUCAUCUGUCACUGUGCAAAAACCCCAUGA